GAGAGAAAACCUUUUUUUGUUCCAGCUGUAAAACUGGCUGUCUUUAUCAAAAUUCUUCCUAAAACUAUGCCAGAAUGUCAAUACAACUGACAUUUAAUAGACAAAAGAGAAUGCUUGUAUACAUGCAUACAACACUUCUGAAUCCUGACUGUACCCCAAAACAUGGGACUACAGGAAAAAAAAAAAAACAAAAUCGUCUGCAGCCCAUGCUUAGGGAGCUUAUGCCAAUAAGCACUUCAGAAGUCCGUUACCCAGAACGUGGUAUCGUGUUAUCCAGAAGAAAUUGAAAUCAGGCAACGUCACAUUUUCAAAAGUUUUACAGCUGGGACUGGCGGAGCAGUUCUUGCUGAAAGCACCCUUAGGUGCAGUGUGUCUUUGCUCAUCUUGGGUUUUCCUUACAUAUCUGAGCCCUCUCAGGACAUGGCCUAAUUAAACACACAGCACUGCAAAUAAACCUGGAAACUGCUGCUGGAAAAUAAAAUGGAAUUGAGAUAAAUGUUAUUAAUUGAAUAUUAUAAUAAAUCAUGGUGAAGGAACUUGAGCUUUUAGGCUUUGCCUUUAAGUGAAUAAAAAAAAAAUAAAAUGAUUAGAAGAGGAUGAGAGCUGUAGCUAUUGGCUUUUAAACUAGACUAGAUAAAGCAGGCUAUCUGUGUCUGAAUAGCACGCUGUUUUGCUGUCCCUGCACAGUAUACAUGCCACCUGCUGUUAGCACAUCCCAAUGCUAUGCUCAGAUCAGCUCAAAUCGCUCGACCCUACCCAUGGAUGCAUCCACUGAUGGAGUGAAGAGAAGUACAGGAGGGUCUCACACUUUGCCAACAUCCCCUGGCAUAGGUGGGAGCGGCUCUGUGGAACUCAGGUGCCUCUCUGAGCUGACAGCUCUGACUGACUGACUGCCUUUCGUUUAAGGAGAAAACGUGUUGCAGUACCAACAGCGGGAGGGAGUGACGAGGGGAGCAGUUCAUAGCAGAGGACGGAGGCUGCCAGGGGCAGCACCCGCCCCACUGCGCUUUCUCAGGGCGGCCACCGCCUGCGGCGGAACACGGCACACGGGGAGGCUGUUUCCCAGCCGGCGGGGAAGUGCAAGGAAGAAGCAAUGCGAGACCGCCGCCCUGAAGAAAUCAUUUAUAUGUACCAUGCAGAGGAAAAUGUAAGCAUGUGAAAUAUUGGUGCCUUAUGUAGAAGGAGUUUGAACAGCAAGACAGAUCUUCUAGCAAUGCGCACUAAUGAUCUGACAUCUGCGUUUCACAGAAUCACUGAACUGUGAGCACUGGAAGGGACCUCUAGGGAGCAUUAAAUCCAACCCCCCUGCAAAGCACGCCCCCUACAGCAGGCUGCACAGGUAUCAGACCACAGAAUGUACAUCCAAAAGGACCUGCCACCUACCACGGAUAACUCUUGAAAAUGUUUUUUCUUCCCCAUCUUCUUCACAGUAUACUAUCUUUACACUUG